rnacentral:rRNA from 1 species
CCGUAACUAUAACGGUCCUAAGGUAGCGAAAUUCCUUGUCGGGUAAGUUCCGACCCGCACGAAAGGCGUAAUGAUUUGAGCGCUGUCUCGACAAUGCACCCGGUGAAAUUGAAAUACCAGUGAAGAUGCUGGUUACCUGCGCCAGGACGGAAAGACCCCAUGGAGCUUUACUCCAGUCUGGUACUGGGACUCGGUAUUGCAUGUACAGGAUAGGUGGGAGGCUAGGAGAUGGUAACGCCAGUUGCCAUGGAGCCGCUGUUGGGAUACCACCCUUGCAGUAUUGGGUUUCUAACCAGCCGCCGUGACCCGGCGGUGGGACAAUGCCAGACGGGGAGUUUGACUGGGGCGGUCGCCUCCGAAAGGGUAUCGGAGGCGCUCAAAGGUUCCCUCAGAAUGGUUGGAAACCAUUCGAAGAGUGCAAAGGCAGAAGGGAGCUUGACUGUGACACCGACGGGUGGAGCAGGUACGAAAGUAGGACUUAGUGAUCCGGUGGUAUAAAGUGGGAUUGCCAUCGCUCAACGGAUAAAAGCUACCCUGGGGAUAACAGGCUUAUCACUCCCAAGAGUUCACAUCGACGGAGUGGUUUGGCACCUCGAUGUCGGCUCAUCGCAUCCUGGGGCUGUAGUAGGUCCCAAGGGUUGGGCUGUUCGCCCAUUAAAGCGGUACGCGAGCUGGGUUCAGAACGUCGUGAGACAGUUCGGUCCCUAUCCGGCGUGGGCGUAGGAUAUCUGAGAGGAGCUGUCCUUAGUACGAGAGGACCGGGAUGGACGGGCCGCUGGUGCAUCGGUUAGACUGCCAAGUCUACGGCCGAGUAGCCAAGCCCGGAAGGGAUAAACGCUGAAGGCAUCUAAGCGUGAAGCCCCCCUUAAGAUGAGAUAUCCCAUUCGAAAGAAGUAAACCCCCUUGAAGACGACGAGGUAGAUAGGGCAGAGGUGGAAGUGCAGUAAUGCAUGGAGCUGACUGUUACUAAUCGAUCGAGGGCUUGACCAA